UCAAACUCUGAAGGAGCCGAUUUUCUUAUAUAUGAAGUCGGUGUCAAUAGUAAACCUGAGGAGCUGGUGAUCUCUGUAUUUGAGCGUGUGAAAAUUCCUGUUUUUGUCAUGAUUGGUUCUCUUGGGGAUCGAAAGUUGUUCAAUGAAGCAUCAAAUUUACUUGAAUCAGGAGCCAGUGGAUUAGUUAUUUCGAUGGAAGAUUUGAGAUCUGUGAGUGAUGAUGAUUUUGGCAAACUGUUUUACAGCCCAUCUGCUUUGAAGAAGAAAUCGGAGGAAAAAUCUCAGAGUAACAGCCAGCUUAAUUCGGACUUGGGGAAUGGCUUUCCUGGUAGGAAGGGGGUGGCUGGCUUUAUAG
rnacentral:misc_RNA from 1 species